UCUCAUCCUCUUGGUUCUUUGAAUCCAACCAGAACUUGACGCCUUGUUCUCCUUCUUUUUCGUGUCACACCAGCUCCUCUGCUCUAAGACAGUGAACAGGAUAGGAGAUCGAGGCUGCCGUUUCGGAGAAACUUUGAGCUUCUGAGUCAUAGGUAAUUCACGAAUAUGUUCAGUACAUGUCUUUGAAGGAUUUGUGAGUUCUGAAAUCACCGAUCUGAGCUUUUGUUUCUUAAUUUGCUUCCAAGGAUUUGUGUUUCAUCUACCGAGGCAUUCUUCAUUGAGCUGGGCAAGUUCGAAGCUUGGUGACCAUGUAACUGGAGCUUCCUGGGCAUUCUUUAUCUCUGUUGGGGCCUCAGGUAGAAACUCCAUCAAAAUCCGGUCCAUGGAGAAAGGCAAGUAACUAAUUAAAUUACAACAAAAAAAAUAUUUGUUUGUUUUUUUGUUUGCACGUGGCCUUUUUUGGUAUAGUAUGUUCACUGAUGAAUCAUGUACUUUCCUUCAUUUCAGAUGCUUUCAUCCAUGGAUACAAAUUUUGUUGGUUAUACAUACAAGAAUUAUGAAAUUGUCAAUGAGCAUCAUAUGCCUGGCAUUGCUGAGUUGAAGAAAAAGACUAAUAAGCCAAAGAGACCUUCUGUUAAGGCCUUAUUCGACACACCUGAUCCUCUAGACCCCCCCAACACAUGGAACUUCUCUCAACCAAAUGUCCACUCUGCCUACCGUCUCGGAAGGCUCUGAGCCAUCUAGGCAAUCUGCUAGACCCCCAUAAUAUCCACACAAACCUCCAAGAAGAUAGCAAGCAAAGUUCAGUUUACAAGUUGUUAUCCAGCUGAAGGAAAUUUAAAGAGAAGUUCACAAAACGGUGAAGGGAAAGAUAGGAAAUUGGUAUCUAAUACUGUAAGUCUUAGUUUUAAAUGCGUUCAUUAGUAAUCCUCCAGUGUAUUACUAGUAGUGAUGUUCAUUCACCAUAUAAUCACCUAGAUUAGUCAAAAAGAGGCCGAGCUUCAUAUUUUAGGGUCUGAUCAAUGAUUUAGAUGAUUUAUUCAUAGGUUCGUAGGUGAUAUAGUAAAUUCCAUCAAAAUUCUUGUCAACUUCCAAACUUGUAGUGAGCUUUGUCUUGAUGUUCUGUUCAUAAAGAGAUUUAGUGAUGAAGUGAGUGAAGUGCUACGUACUUUUUUCUCCCUACCGAAGGAGGCAUGUAAAUUCUUUUAAUUAUUUCAUUAUAAUUGUUAUUAUAAGCUGUGUGCAAACAGGAGCAUUUCAUGUAUGGAGGCUACGAUCAUAUAUGGCUUGUAGAGCCACUUCUUUUCA